rnacentral:rRNA from 1 species
CCUACGGGUGGCAGCAGUGAGGAAUAUUGGUCAAUGGGCGCGAGCCUGAACCAGCCAAGUAGCGUGAAGGAUGACUGCCCUACGGGUUGUAAACUUCUUUUGUCAAGGAAUAACGUUAGGCACGUGUGCCUUUUUGUAUGUACUUUAUGAAUAAGGAUCGGCUAACUCCGGGCCCGCAGCCGCGGUAAUACGGAGGAUCCGAGCGUUAUCCGGAUUUAUUGGGUUGAAAGGGAGCGUAGAUGGGUUGUUAAGUCAGUUGUGAAAGUGUGCGGCUUAACCGCAAAAUUGCAAUUGAUACUGGCAGCCUAGAGUGCGGGUGAGGUAGGCGGAAUUCGUGGUGUAGCGGUGAAAUGCUUAGAUAUCACGAAGAACUCCGAUUGCGAAGGCAGCCUACUAAACUGCCACUGACAUUGAUGCUCGAAAGUGUGGGUAUCAAACAGGAUUAGAUACCCGAGUAGUC